AUGUUGUCCCUGUUACCUUCCCAUUCCAAGGACGAUUCUGAAGACUCUGAGUUGGAGAACAUCAUGCAACAAGACCCCUACCACAGCGGGGACCACCCUCACCCGCCUCUGGGUGGCUAUGAGCACAGCCCGGACCAUGAGCACUCCCACCCGGUGGACAGGGAGGCGGAGGGUGGCGACACCCCCGGGACGCCCACCUUUUUGCGUCCCCCCACGGCGGGUGGCAGGGCCCAGUCAGACAACCAGGGCGUAGGGAGGCUGCAGUUGGGUGGAUGUGGGAUGGUGGAUCACUAUGACAUGCAGUCUCCCCUCAGUCCCACCAGGCCCAAGAGCCCCUGGGGACGCUUUGACCCCUACGACUUUCCAGAGGACCAAGACAAGGACUAUGUGGGCUUUGCAACGCUGCCAAACCAGGUGCACCGUAAGUCUGUCAAGAAGGGCUUUGACUUCACCCUGAUGGUAGCGGGGGAGUCUGGUCUGGGCAAGUCCACCCUGGUCAACAGCCUCUUCCUCACAGACCUCUACAAGGACAGGAAGCUACUCAACGCUGAGGAGCGGAUCACUCAGACAGUGGAGAUCACUAAACACACAGUGGACAUUGAGGAGAAGGGCGUCAAGCUGAAGCUCACCAUUGUAGACACACCUGGCUUUGGAGACGCUGUCAAUAACACUGAAUGCUGGAAGUCAGUGGCGGACUACAUCGACCAGCAGUUUGAGCAGUACUUCAGGGAUGAGAGUGGACUGAACAGGAAGAACAUCCAAGAUAACAGAGUCCACUGCUGCCUCUACUUCAUCUCUCCCUUCGGACACGGUCUGAGGCCUCUGGAUGUGGAGUUUAUGAAGGCCCUUCAUGAGAAGGUCAACAUUGUGCCCAUCCUGGCCAAGGCAGAUACACUCACACCCACCGAGGUCAAGAAAAAGAAAUUCAAGAUCCGAGAGGAGAUCCAGCAGUAUGGGAUUAAGAUCUACCAGUUCCCAGACUGUGACUCUGAUGAGGAUGAGGACUUCAAACAGCAGGAUCAGGAACUCAAGGACAGUAUACCGUUUGCGGUGAUCGGCAGCAACACGGUGGUGGAGGCCAAAGGCAAGAGGGUCCGGGGUCGUCUUUAUCCCUGGGGCAUCGUGGAAGUGGAGAACUCGGCGCACUGUGACUUUGUGAAGCUGAGGAACAUGUUGGUGAGGACACACAUGCAGGACCUGAAGGAUGUGACACGGGAGACCCACUAUGAGAACUACAGGGCUCACUGCAUUCAGAGCAUGACCCGCAUGGUGGUGAAGGAACGCAACCGCAAUAAACUAACCAGGGAGAGCGGCACAGACUUCCCCAUCCCUGUGAUACCAAGUACCACAGACACAGAGACGGAGAAGCUCAUCCGUGAGAAAGACGAAGAGGUACCACGACACUCAGAGCACGAUGAGCACUCAGACCCAACUCUAGAACCCCACUCUGACCCGGGCCUAGACCCAGAGUCUGAACCUGAGGCCUCCUGA
ensembl:lncRNA septin-4